rnacentral:lncRNA from 1 species
AUUCUGAAAUGGAAUAAAGACAAGGCAAAAUGUUAUCUUUAAGCUAUGACACUGGGCUUCCAGUGGUCACAGGGAGUGGACACACAUCCAAUGCCAAACAGGCUGAUAACAGACAGGAAGCAUCAUUAUAGUCAGAAAUGGCCUUCACAGCAGGAUUCUUGUAAAAAAAAAAGUUCUUCCAAAAAGGCUUUGGAGACAGGGUGCUGCCUGAGCUGCUUCUGGGCCGGGCUGUGCAACCUUGGAGGAGUGUGGCAACUUUCGUGGAAGCAGAUACGGGAUGCUAACUAAGCCUGAGUUUCUCUUCUGUCACCAACUCCCUUUCCGUGAUGCAUUGAGCCAGCCACACUCUUGCAUCACGAUCUACUGUAAUAGUCGCAGACCCAAAGCAGCAGAAGAAAGUCACCACGGACUACAGCUUCUGAAAUCAUGGGUCAGAAUAAACUUUAUCUCGGUCUCCUAGGAAUGAAAGAACUCCUAGUACUGGUGGGAGCAUGGCCUUAUAACUGCAAAAAUGAACAACAACAGUCGAGAAGGCUUGGAAACAGAGCUUAACUUCAGGACACUUUGGACAACAUUGAGUUCUUUUUAGGCUUCCUACUGCAAAGCCCUUUAAAUGACUUCAGCUACAGGAAGGAGGGAACCAAGGACAAAGUGUCCCCUUAUUUAACAAUAUGCGUUCACAGAGACCUUUCUUUAAUUUACUAGGUUUCAA